rnacentral:rRNA from 1 species
GAUGAACGCUGGCGGCAUGCCUAACACAUGCAAGUCGAUCGGUAAGGCUCUUCGGAGUCCCCGAGAGGCGGACGGCUGAGUAACGCGUAGGAACACACCCUGCAGUGAGGGAUAAGACACCGAAAGGUGUUCUAAUACCGCAUACGGUCUUCGGAUUAAAGCAUUUAUGCGCUGAAGGAGUGGCCUGCGUCAUAUUAGAUAGUUGGUGAGGUAAUGGCUCACCAAGUCGAUGAUGUGUAGCUGGUCUGAGAGGAUGAUCAGCCAGACUGGAACUGAGACACGGUCCAGACUCCUACGGGAGGCAGCAGUAAGGAAUAUUUCACAAUGAGCGAAAGCUUGAUGGAGCAAUGCCGCGUGCAGGAUGAAGGCCCUCGGGUUGUAAACUGCUUUUAUAAGAGAAGAUUAUGACGGUAACUUAUGAAUAAGGGACGGCUAACUACGUG